UUUAACUGAGCGUUCAGUUACUUGACGUAGACCCGAAACCGGGCGACCUACCCAUGAGCAGGAUGAAGCGAAAGUAAAAUUUCGUGGAGGUCCGAACCCACGAGCGUUGAAAAGCUCGGGGAUGACUUGUGGGUAGCGGUGAAAUUCCAAUCGAGCCCGGAGAUAGCUGGUUCUCCCCGAAAUAGCUUUAGGGCUAGCCUCAAGGUGAGAGAUACGGAGGUAGAGCACUGAAUGUCCUAGGGGGUAUUGCACCUACCGAAGACUAUCAAACUCCGAAUGCCGUCAUCUUAUACUUGGGAGUCAGACUGUGGGUGAUAAGAUUCAUAGUCGAAAGGGCAACAGCCCAGAUCGUCAGCUAAGGUCCCUAAAUGUAAGUUAAGUGGUAAAGGAUGUGGGAUUGCACAGACAACCAGGAUGUUGGCUUAGAAGCAGCCACUCAUUCAAAGAGUGCGUAAUAGCUCACUGGUCGAGUGAUCCUGCGCCGAAGAUUUCCGGGGCUAAAACUUACUACCGAAGCUACGGCAUCAGUAAUGAUGGGUAGGGGAGCUUCCCAUACGGGUUGAAGCAUGACCGUAAGGACAUGUGGACAGUAUGGGAGUGA
rnacentral:rRNA from 1 species